UGUCCAUCUGUGUUUCUAGCUUCUUGUUUUUCUUCUUUGGAGUUUUGUGCGGACUCUCCAGUAACAUUGCCAAGGGCUGAGUUAGGAUCGGACAGAGCACACGUCUGACUCC